GCGUCGUUAGGCUCAGUUGGUAGAGCAUACUGGCUCUUAACCAGCGGGUCAUCAGGAAUUCGAGCCACUGUACGACGUACCA
rnacentral:tRNA from 1 species